rnacentral:rRNA from 1 species
ACGUACACUCCUACGAGAGGCAGCAGUGGGGAAUAUUGGACAAUGGGCGCAAGCCUGAUCCAGCCAUGCCGCGUGAGUGAUGAAGGCCCUAGGGUUGUAAAGCUCUUUCACCGGUGAAGAUAAUGACGGUAACCGGAGAAGAAGCCCCGGCUAACUUCGUGCCAGCAGCCGCGGUAAUACGAAGGGGGCUAGCGUUGUUCGGAUUUACUGGGCGUAAAGCGCACGUAGGCGGACUAUUAAGUCAGGGGUGAAAUCCCGGGGCUCAACCCCGGAACUGCCUUUGAUACUGGUAGUCUUGAGUUCGAGAGAGGUGAGUGGAAUUCCGAGUGUAGAGGUGAAAUUCGUAGAUAUUCGGAGGAACACCAGUGGCGAAGGCGGCUCACUGGCUCGAUACUGACGCUGAGGUGCGAAAGCGUGGGGAGCAAACAGGAUUAGAAACCCGAGUAGUCCCA